rnacentral:rRNA from 1 species
CCUUUGACGUUAGCGGCGGACGGGUGAGUAACACGUGGGUAACCUACCUAUAAGACUGGGAUAACUUCGGGAAACCGGAGCUAAUACCGGAUAAUAUUUCGAACCGCAUGGUUCGAUAGUGAAAGAUGGUUUUGCUAUCACUUAUAGAUGGACCCGCGCCGUAUUAGCUAGUUGGUAAGGUAACGGCUUACCAAGGCGACGAUACGUAGCCGACCUGAGAGGGUGAUCGGCCACACUGGAACUGAGACACGGUCCAGACUCCUAGGGAGGCAGCAGCG